rnacentral:rRNA from 1 species
CGCAACGAGCGCAACCCUUAUCCUUUGUUGCCAGCGGUCCGGCCGGGAACUCAAAGGAGACUGCCAGUGAUAAACUGGAGGAAGGUGGGGAUGACGUCAAGUCAUCAUGGCCCUUACGACCAGGGCUACACACGUGCUACAAUGGCGCAUACAAAGAGAAGCGACCUCGCGAGAGCAAGCGGACCUCAUAAAGUGCGUCGUAGUCCGGAUUGGAGUCUGCAACUCGACUCCAUGAAGUCGGAAUCGCUAGUAAUCGUGGAUCAGAAUGCCACGGUGAAUACGUUCCCGGGCCUUGUACACACCGCCCGUCACACCAUGGGAGUGGGUUGCAAAAGAAGUAGGUAGCUUAACCUUCGGGAGGGCGCUUACCACUUUGUGAUUCAUGACUGGGGUGAAGUCGUAACAAGGUAACCGUAGGGGAACCUGCGGUUGGAUCACCUCCUUACCUUAAAGAAGC